CCUACGGGAGGCAGCAGUGAGGAAUAUUGGUCAAUGGGCGAGAGUCUGAACCAGCCAAGUCGCGUGAAGGAUGACGGCCCUAUGGUUUGUAAACUUCUUUUAUAUGGGAAUAAAGUGAGGAACGUGUUCCUUUUUGUAUGUACCAUAUGAAUAAGCAUCGGCUAACUCCGUGCCAGCAGCCGCGGUAAUACGGAGGAUGCGAGCGUUAUCCGGAUUUAUUGGGUUUAAAGGGUGCGUAGGUGGUUAGUUAAGUCAGCGGUGAAAGUUUGUGGCUCAACCAUAAAAUUGCCGUUGAAACUGGUUGACUUGAGUAUGUUUGAGGUAGGCGGAAUGCGUGGUGUAGCGGUGAAAUGCAUAGAUAUCACGCAGAACUCCGAUUGCGAAGGCAGCUUACUGAACUAUAACUGACACUGAGGCACGAAAGCGUGGGUAUCAAACAGGAUUAGAUACCCGGGUAGUC
rnacentral:rRNA from 1 species